rnacentral:rRNA from 1 species
UACGUAGGGUGCAAGCGUUAAUCGGAAUUACUGGGCGUAAAGCGUGCGCAGGCGGCUUUGCAAGACAGAUGUGAAAUCCCUCGGCUUAACCGAGGAACUGCCCUCCAAACUGCUUGGCUUGAGACCGGGAGAGGUGAGUGGAAUUCCCAGUGUAGCGGUGAAAUGCGUAGAUAUUGGGAGGAACACCAGUGGCGAAGGCGGCUCACUGGACCGGAACUGACGCUGAUGCGCGAAAGCGUGGGGAGCAAACGGGG